rnacentral:rRNA from 1 species
CCUACGGGUGGCAGCAGUGAGGAAUAUUGGUCAAUGGGCGCGAGCCUGAACCAGCCAAGUAGCGUGAAGGAUGACUGCCCUACGGGUUGUAAACUUCUUUUAUGAAGGAAUAAGGGGAGGCACGAGUGCCUUUUUGGAUUUACUUUAUGAGUAAGGAUAGGAUAACUCCGUGCCAGCAGCCGCGGUAAUACGGAGGAUACGAGCGUUAUCCGGAUUUAUUGGGUUUAAAGGGAGCGUAGAUGGGUUGUUAAGUCAGUUGUGAAAGUUUGCGGCCCAACCGGAAAACUGCAAUUGAUACUGGCAGUCUAGAGUACAGUAGAGGUAGGCGGAAUGCGAGGUGUAGCGGUGAAAUGCGUAGAUAUCACGAAGAACACUGAUUGCGAAGGCAGCUUCCUAAACUGACACUGACACUGAUGUGCGAAAGUGUGGGUAGCAAACAGGAUUAGAUACCCGAGUAGUC